rnacentral:lncRNA from 1 species
AUGAGGAUGUUGGUAGCAGGAAAUGUUGCAUUUUCUCUGGAUCACGUGGCAAGUCUUUAUGGUACGAGCUCAGGAGAGUCGAUCAGGAUGGCAGAAAGUUUCCUAGUCCCUUGCCCAGCUAUGGAGCCCUUAAGCUUGUGAAGGGUAACUUCACCUUGUGCUGAGCUUCCUUGAGACUAGGAAGAAAAGAUGGCAGAGGACUGGGAAAAAUAUAUUGGGUGUACUGGUUACAGAAGCUGAGCCCUUCAGCGCAGCAAGUCUUUGAUGGUUCUGGUUG